CCAGAUUCCAAAGCGUUCAUGAAAAUGGCUGUUUACAUCAUUAGACAGAACUCUCCUGGCCUUCAGCAUAGCUGGUAACUUUUCUGUCAGUUUCAUAUGGAUUUAAACUUAACCAGAUUUUUAACUUUAGGGAAGAUAGAACAGAUUUAUAUAAAGAUGGAGAGAAAAUCAACACUCUGUCUAUAUUGGUGAUUCUCAGAUGGGAAUGGGAGAGAAUUUUACAUCUCAGGGGACAUCUGGCAAUAACUGACAUUUUGGUUGUCUCAUGGGGAACAUGGGGAACAACAUAGCAGCUAGGGAUUAGAAGCCAGGGAUGCAGUUAAUGCACAGAGCAGCCCCCACAGCUCAACAAAGAAGUAUCUGGCCCCAGAUGUCAAGUAUUGAGGUUGAGAAACCCAGUCUAGAUAUUAUUUCUUUCCUUCACUGAAUCACUCUUGUAAAAAAAAGUCUGUCUUCUAAUACCUCCUCUCUCAACCUAGAGGGUUAUUUUGAAUAUUAGCUUCUGAGAUUAGAAGUAAUCAUCAGCUAUACAAAAACAUCAUGAUUUUCCUCCAAAUCAGUGAUCCUCAGAUUUCUUCACAUUAAACCAGCUGGGAGACUUUCAAACCAUAUCAGUCAUUGGACUCCACCUUCAGACCAAUUGAAUACAAAUCUCCAGGGCUGAGACCGAACCACAGUAUAUUUUAAUUUCCAAUGUGUCAGGAAUGGAGGAUUAUGAAUAUAAAUGCACAGAAAGUCUAUUUUCUAUGCUAGUUCUGCUUACAAAGACAGAACUUAGUUACAGGAUGGGAGAUAGUGAUGUCUCUCUCAAUGUAGAAAUGCUCUUUACUCCCUUCCCAUGGGGUCAUGUUGACUAUUUGAAUGAAGAGUAUUUGAGCUGAGCAUGGUGGCACAUGCACAUAAUCCCAGUGACUGGAAAGGCUGAGGCAGGAGGAUCUCAAGUUCAAGGACAGCCUCAACAACUUAGUGGGAUCCUGUCUCAAAAUAUAAAAGUGGGGAGGGCAUUGGAGAUUUAGCUCAGUGGUAAAGCACCCCAUGACCAAAAAAAAAAAAAAGAAAAGAAAAAGUAUUUGAGGUACUUACUUAUGUUUUGAUCACCCAAGAUAUUUUACUUUCAUGGCCAAAUUGCAUGCAUUUACAAGGUCUCAAGGUUUUUCUUAAUCCUUUCUACAAAAUUUCAAGAGAAAGAAAAUUAUUUAGCUUUGCUCCAGUAACCCACAGUUUCACUUUUAACUAUCCUUCAAUCUAAAGAGGAUAGAAAUAGUCUCACCAUGGAUUUCAUGUACCAAUUGAACCUGGAUUCUUCUGAGCAUCCUGAGAAGCCUAUGGAAGGUUUUGAAGCCAUUGUGAUGGCGCAUACCUAUGAUCCCAGUGACUCUGGAAGCUGAGCCAGGAGGAUCACAGAUUCAACACCAGCCCAGGAAACUUUAGUGAGAUCCUAUCUCAAAAUAAAAAAAAUAAAAAAGAAUGAGGAUGUAUCUCAGUGGUAAAAUGCCCCUGGGUUCAUUCCUUAGUAUUGCAGAAUUGGGAGUUUCCAAUUCACCCUCUACCCCUUUCACCACACUCCCAAUCCUCCUAGCAAAUACUGGUCAAGCAGAUGGUUUGGGUGUGAUGCCCUGGAGGUUAACAGAUGUGAGUUCUGAUGGAACAAGAGGACUGACCUUUCCCAUUGCUGCUCUCAGACCAAAGCACAUGCUCUGCUCCAUCUCCCAACAAACAAAUGGAGCUUCAUGUGGCUGACUUUUAAACAUUCCAAACCAGGAUCAAAAGGCUUCUCAGAGUAAGGGGCAAGUAGAAGUCAAUAAGAACUGAUUUCAACAUCAGGAAAUGAACUCUAUUUGGUAGACAAUCUACCUUCCUUAGCUCAGGAUUAAAUAUUAACUUAAGACUGGCAUUUCAAAGCAAACAAACAAAAAUGAAAGGCUUAGCCCUCAACUCUCCCAGAGUAGGUAACAUUUAUUCCCUCUUGAUGCCUAAUGCCCUUCUUGAAGGCCCACGAAUGUUUAAAGAAACCUCUUUCUCU
rnacentral:lncRNA from 1 species